GGGAGAAGCCCAGCACCGAAUCCCGCGGUCGUAACCGUCGCCGGGAAAUGUGGUGUUAGGGAGGAUCAAUGUCCCGUGGUUGUGCGGUGCGUCCAAGUCCACCUUGAACGGGGCCACUUACCCAUAGAGGGUGCCAGGGCCGUAAGGACCGCCGCCGGAUACGGGAGGAUCUCUCCUCAAAGUCCGGUUGCUUGAAAGUGCAGCCCUAAAUGGGUGGUAAACUCCAUCUAAGGCUAAAUAUAACCACGAGACCGAUAGCGAACAAGUACCGUGAGGGAAAGUUGAAAAGAACUUUGAAGAGAGAGUUCAACAGUACGUGAAACCGUUCAGGGGUAAACCUGAGAAACUCGAAAGAUCGAAUGGAGAGAUUCAGCGCGUCUCGGAGGGCGCGAGUGGUGGCACUGUGACGGUCGACGUUCGCGUCGGCCGCCUCGCCAUCACCGCAGUUCGACGAACGUGUGCACUUCUCCCCUAGUAUAAGGUCGUGACCCGUUGAGUGCCCGUCUACGGCCCGCGGAGGAGCCCGUGCGGAGGAUUUUACGAUCCUCCGCCGGACCCGCGGUGUCCUGGCCGACCCGCUCGACGGUGUUGAUAUUGGCGAGGGGCCGCGAUUUUCGCGUCCGGCGCGCAACAAGCUCGCACGGUCUAGUCCGUCUGUCUUACCUGGUGCCUACAGCGGACUCGUUCGGCUGUUGGUUGCGUCGUUCUCGGACCGACUCCCGCCUGUCAACGACGCCAUUGCUUUGGGUACUUUCAGGACCCGUCUUGAAACACGGACCAAGGAGUCUAGCAUGUGCGCGAGUCAUUGAGACUAACUUAAUCUACCGGCGAGCUGAAUGCAAAGGCCACCUCACCGUGCGCCGAGGGAGGAUGCGGAGCGCCUCGGUGCUCCGCCGCACUCCCGGGGCGUCUCGAGUUCAUUGCG
rnacentral:rRNA from 1 species